UCCUACAUCUAAAGAGAAAACCGACCCAACGUUCAGCUUUUAUUUUGAAAAAGUUAAAGUUUCUGUGUGACAGUCAUUCAAAACUCACUAAAAAAUCACUGAUAAUGUUGUGGCAAACACGAGGGGGGCACGGUACAAUUCUGUGUGUAAUCACAAAGUAGUAUUUUUAUAAUGAUAGAGUGUAAAUCAGAGGUCGAUGUAAUUCACUAUCAGAGAAAUCAUGCAAUCUAAAUGCAAAAAAUCAAAAAGACGCAACGGCAAGCAGACGCAAGUGCACCUCUAAACGAUGAUAAGGAAAGAAAAGUCGUGAAACACGGUGAGUGAGAGUGGAGUGGGGCUGGGGGCUGGGGCAGGUGGAAGAGCAGGGCAGGAGGGGUAGCUGAAACUGAAGUUACUAACUAACCCGAAAAACUCAACUCAUAUCAGCUGCGUGAUGUUAUCAGUACAUUUAGUAGAUUUUGUUUUGGUGGCAUGUUGUUGUCCCUCCUUAUCUAAAAUUUUUAUUUUUAAACCAAAGCCAAGUGCCAAAAUCAACUGCUGAAUUCUUACUUAUGUGGGUGAAAUGACUCUCUGAAACAUUUGUGAAGUUUCUUUAAUAAUAAUGACUGCUCCAGAUUGUAGAGUUUCUGAUUACAUGCAGGUGUUUUGUUCAUGGAAAAGUGCCUCAAAAAGUAUAGCAGAUUGUAUCAAAAUUCAGAGGAAUAGUUCCAAAGUUUCUUUAGAUGAUGUCGUUGACUUUGAAAGAUGCAUACAAUUAUUUGCAAAUGAUAGUUCAGGAUUUGCACCUUGCACAAUCAAUUUUAAAUUGGAAAAUAACUGGAUGAUCACCAAAAUUGCCAUAGCUUCUGAGGCUAAAAUCUUUGAACUGUAUGGCUCAGGGAGGAGUACAUAGGGACUCAUCAUGCUGAAUAUAUUGAUACUUUUGAAGAUAUGGAAGUAUUCUUAACUGAAAUGGAUGUUGCUCUAUCCAAUGAAUGUACAUUGAAGCUUGCCAAGACAAAAAAUAGAAACUGUAUGUGGGUAUAUGGAAUUUACAUCUCAGUUGCUGAGUUGAACCCCAGUCCAACGAAACCAGGACUGGACCUAAAUAAAGUAGAAGAACGUUUGAAAACGUCAAGCCAACCUUUGACAGACAAAGCAUUCAAAUGUAAAGAAUUUUUGAAGAUGUACAAUUCAAACUUGCCUAGUAUAUCGCACACUAAAGUUCCUGAUCCCAUACUCAUUUUAAAGAUGUUGGAAGGUGAAUUUCUGAGUUCCUUGCUCUCUCAAUCAGAUAGUUCUAAUGGAACUAGUCCGUUUCCCCUUAGCUCUCUUCUGUCUAAAGAUUCUCACCACACCGCUUCCUCCGAACGGAGAAAUAGCCAUUCUUCUGCUCAAGAAAGUGGCCUUUGCUCUGAAAAUGAAUUUGCCAUGGCACAAACUGAGUUAAAGUAUUAUUUGGAUAAGAAAAUGAUGAUGCUCGAAAAUAAGUUGACGGCAAUGAUAAAUUGUAAACUCAAAUCAGUAGAAGAAAAAUAUUCAUCAAAAGUGGAUAAAAUUCUUGAUUUACUAGAAAAAAUGAACUGUGUUCCUGAAUAA
rnacentral:lncRNA from 1 species